CUAUACCCCACUCCCUCUAGCAUGUAAACUCACUGAGCAGGCCCUCAAUCCCUCUGUUACUUUGUCACUAUACCCCACUCCCUCUAACAUGUAAACUCACUGAGCAGGCCCUCAAUCCCUCUGUUACUGUGUCACUAUACCCCACUCCCUCUAACAUGUAAACUCACUGAGCAGGCCCUCAAUCCCUCUGUUACUGUGUCACUAUACCCC